GUGGUGGCUCAGUGGUAGAGCGCUCGCCUAGCACAUGAGAGGCUCUGGGUUCGAUCCUCAGCACCACA
rnacentral:tRNA from 1 species